rnacentral:lncRNA from 1 species
GCUCAUCCAUGAGAAUGUGACAAGUUCUGAAAGGCUUCCUCUUGCAUACAGACACUGCCUUUUUGUUUCUGUGUGCUGUCCAGUUGUAGGACUUAAACGUGGUUCUGUUAAGCUUGCACCAAGGAAGGUAAUGCCUGUGUUUCCUCUAACUGACAUGGCAAAUAGAUAAGAGCUUGUAACUAGUGUAAGUAGGUCAGUACAUUUCUUCAAUCCUAUAUUUCCAUGACCUGAUAAAAUGGACCUCAGAUCAAAUACAAUGGUAGUAACAUACUGCAUGAAACUAAAUAUCCACCAUGCUCGGAUUAUCCAUGGAAGUUUUGCAGAUUUGGUAUUCUUGAAACUGAAUACUGCAAGUGACAGUAUCGUCCAGGAUAGUACCUGUAAACCUUCACCUAGUAGAAAAUAUGGAUAUUUGCAAUCACUUGGUCCCCUUUUUAAGUGAAACAACACUAACUUCAGGACAUGAGUGGCUAAUAUAAACAAGCAGCAAGCUAUGCUUGCUUGAUAUGAUACAUUCAACUUUACGUCAGCAUACUUGUGUUCCUGAGACAAAUGAUUAUCUCUUUCAGAACUCGUAAGGUUCAAUUUCUGCCUGCACCAUCUGAUUUUCCUGAACAGUAACCCGGCCAAUACGCCAAUGACAAAUACCAUAUGUGUCAUGGUAAAAGUGCCCGUCCAGAAGCAAGGUGAAUCUAUCUGUGGCCACCCUCGUAAGUG